GACGAACGCUGGCGGCGUGCUUAACACAUGCAAGUCGAACGGAAAGGCCCUGCUUUUGUGGGGUGCUCGAGUGGCGAACGGGUGAGUAACACGUGAGUAACCUGCUCUUGAUUUUGGGAUAACUUCAGGAAACUGGGCUUAAUACCGUAUCGGAGCCCCUGCUCCAUGGUGGGGGUGGGAAAUUUGCGGCGGUAGGGGAUGGAUUCGCGGCUUACGAGCUUGCUGGUGGGGUAGUGGCUUGCCAAGGCUGUGAAGGGUAGCCGGCCUGAGAGGGUGACCGGCGACAUUGGGACUGAGAUAGGGCGCAGACGCGAACGGGGGGCAGCAGGGGGGAGUAUUGCACAGUGGGAGGGAGCCUGGUAAGGAAGCGCCGCGUGCGGGAUGACGGCCUUCGGGUUGUGAACCGCUGUCGCCUGUGACGAAGCGGGAGUGACGGUAAUGAGUGAAGAAGCACCGGCUAACUACGUG
rnacentral:rRNA from 1 species